rnacentral:rRNA from 1 species
GACGAACGCUGGCGGCGUGCUUAACACAUGCAAGUCGAACGGAAAGGCCCUGCUUGCAGGGUACUCGAGUGGCUAACGGGUGAGUAACACGUGGGUGAUCUGCCCUGCACUUCGGGAUAAGCCUGGGAAACUGGGUCUACUACCGGAUAGGAGCCAUUUUUAGUGUGAUGGUUGGAAAGUUUUUUCGGUGUAGGAUGAGCUCGCGGCCUAUCAGCUUGUUGGUGGGGUAAUGGCCUACCAAGGCGGCGACGGGUAGCCGGCCUGAGAGGGUGGACGGCCACAUUGGGACUGAGAUACGGCCCAGACUCCUACGGGAGGCAGCAGUGGGGAAUAUUGCACAAUGGGCGCAAGCCUGAUGCAGCGACGCCGCGUGGGGGAUGACGGCCUUCGGGUUGUAAACUCCUUUCGCUAGGGACGAAGCUUUUUGUGACGGUACCUAGAUAAGAAGCACCGGCUAACUACGUG